rnacentral:tRNA from 1 species
ACGCUCUUAGUUUAAAGGAAAAAAAUAAAAGUCUCCAAAACUUUCAGAUGAAGGUUCAAUUCCUUCAGAGCGUG